UGUUAGCAGAGCCUUGUGGUUUCUUCUG
rnacentral:piRNA from 1 species